AUGGCCAUUCAACUGAACAGUCACACCAAAGCCAAAGACAUACUGGCCAAAUUCCAGUUUGAGAACAGCCAUGGCUCAUCAGAAUGUAUUAAGAUUCAGAACCAAAGGUUAUAUGAAAUUGGAGGAAAUAUAGGACAGCAUUGCUUGGAUCCAGAUGCAUACGUAUUGGAUGUAUAUCGUGUAAAUCCUCAUGCAGAAUGGGUCAUUAAGCCAAAACCAAGUCCUUGAAAUACCCCCCACGCAGCUGUGAUCACAUAUUAUAUUCCAAGGAGACGCUGCUUGUGGUGGGGAAACAAGACUCCCUGGACAUGCCUGUCCCAUGGCCCUCAGGGGUCCUUGUCCCGAGGGGAAGCAUCGCCAGCCUCGUCAGCGUGAACUGUGUGAAGGAGGGGCUCACCACUUGAGCUGAACGCUCUCCACUCUUCCUGGAUGAGGAAGGGAGCCUGGGUCCUCCCAGAAGUGAGGCUCUACAGGAUGCGAGCUCCAUCAUUGCUCCAGUUCUGUUUCUGCAGCAGAUGUGAACAUGACCUUGUACAUGACCUUGGGGACAAGCAGCUCUUCCUUUCAUAGCCAAUGCCACCAACAAGGGGAAGAGACUCUUUUUAUACUUAUGUUAUAUACAUUUAUUGACCUCUUUUUUUUUUUUUUAGCAAGAAUGCCAGAAACAGCCUUAAUUUCUGCCCUACAAAAUACUCCACAUCUACUUUCCAAAGGGAAUCAGUUUCUAAAGUGAAACAGACAAUAUUUAUGCUCUGACUGGCUCCUGGAUUGGAGGAGGAACUUCCAUCUAAAAAAAACUGUUGCUACAAAUGUCGUGCUGAGUGAUGGCUGUCAUCGUUCUCCAAUGAGCACUCUGUGUCGUUGAGUAUUGAGGUGAUAUUUUGUCACUCAUGGUCUCAUGAGCAGGUGCCCAUCAGGUGUCCAACCCUUCCAGACCCUUCCUGACCCUCCUGACCCUUCCUUGGGGUCAGCAGUCACAGUCUCUGGUUUUCCUCCAUGGUCAUGGUGCUCAGUGAACAUCCUUCCUUGUGCCAGACUCAGAUUUCCCUCUCUGAUCACACACAUUUUUCUUUUUUACAGUUCACAACUGUAGGUAGUGAUUUCUUUCUGCAGCCCCAACCUAAAAAUACAAAACUGCUUGUAUCCACGUGUGGUGAAAAGUGCCCUUAGCUCCAGCUGUUACAAGCCGCACACACAGAUUUUGCUUUUGUUCAUUAAGUGUAGACAUGGCCGAGCACUGUGAAGGAGCAGCGGGCUGGGGAAUCAGAUGUGUGUUGGGAAGCUGUCUCUCCAUUGAGUUUCUGCAGUUGGCCACAGCACUCGGUCCUCAUGCUUCUGAUUUAGGGCAAGUCUAGAACACGCUGAGGAUGGGCUGGCUCUGCCUUCCCUCUUGGGGUCCCAGAUACUGUCCGUCUAGGACCAGCCCAACUGGGGAUAGAGUUCUCAUUUCCCCAAAGCAUAUACUUCAGGGUGAAAUCCAGACUGAGAUUUUGAUGGGUUUAGAUCAGUUUUCAUAAGAGUUAAGGCCAACAUGACUCUCACUUGCAGUUCAACAUGGAAUCACAAACACAGAAAACAUUUUUUAUUUUACCAAGUGUCAACUUAACAUAAUACCUUUAAUUGCAUUUAUGGAAGAAAUCCUGUGCAUGUUACUUUAUGCCUUGAUGUCUCUACAAAACAUUAUUUAUAUUCCACAUCCAGGUAAUUGUAUUUCUAGCCUUUGGGAUUUUGUUAUACUUUUAUAAGAAACACAAAGAUGUAUUCAUUUAAUUUGUUUAUUUGAGAAUCUUUAUUUCCUUUGGCAGAUAACCAGUUAGAAAAGAAUUCUAUAAGCUUAUAUUUCUGCCUGUAUUUCAUCAGUUUUCAGCAUAUGCUAACUUGAUGGCAUGUGAGUUUACACAAUGAAUUUCUAGAGUAUGAAAAACAAAACAAAGCAAAAUAAACAUUGCAACAGAAUAAACAUUCCCCUUCAUGUGGUUGCCAAGUUCCAAGGCAUUACACAUUACAUGGUAGGAAUCUACACCCACAUGUGGAAGACAAUUUUCAAAUAGCUACCUUACACUUCUCCCUACAUCCGUACCUGGUAUUUCUCACCGUAUCUCAUUAGAAGGGUUAAAAUUCUGUUGUGAUUUUAUUUAAAACUCACAAAUCUAUUCAUUCAUUAUUUUUAUUUCAGAGUUUUCCUUUCUUCUGACUGACAACACAUUAGAACCUGUACAUAAAGAGUCCCAGGUUUACUCCUGGUCCCUAGGCUUGUUUACAUAGGGACCCCGGAGGUGACAGGUGAAAUGCAGGAAUUCUCUAAAGUUCUUACCCCUGCCAUGUGGUUUUGGGUGGACACUUCCAUUCAUCCAAGGCCAAGUGGCAGCUCUCAGACAGCUGUAUAAUAUGGAGAACCAUGUCCACAUUGCCAAACCGUUAGAACUUUUAUUCCCCAUCAUAAGAUUAACUGGUUAAAGAAAAACAUUUGCAGACACACAAAAACUAAUACUUCUGUGGUUAAAGUUCUUUUGCCUAAUUUAAUUCUUACAGAAUAAAUAAACCCUAAACUGCCUGUCACCUAAAGACUUAAAGGAUUGGAAAACAGCAGAGUUGGUUUUUUCAAACUUCAGUACCCAGUCUAUGAAGCGAAUGGUAUAUUUGCAAACAAGAGGAAGGUCAGACACCCAGCUCAUAAAUAUUAUCUUUUUUUUUCUUUUUUGGAUUGUCUGAGACAGGGUCUCCCUACCUAGUUCAGGCUGGCCUUGAACUCACUAUGUAGCCCAAGCUGGCCUCAAACUUGCAGUGAACCUCCUGUCUCAGCCUCCCGAGUGCUGGAAUUACAGGUGUGCACCACACCUGGGUAUAAAUAUUAUUCUUAAUGGCUUCUCCCAUGCUGUCCCAAGUGCUCUUGGUACCUGUUCAGGAACAUGGUAUCCUCCAGGAAAGUAUCAGAGGAAAUUAACAUUUUGGGAAUAUUAUUCAGGAAAAUUCCUAGAACUGACUCAUUUAUUCCUCCAUUCUGCAAAAGAGGAUCCCUGUGUGAAGCAGCUCACUUGGGAAUAGUGAGUGCUUCUUGCAGUCAGUGACGUUUGAACAAACUGGAAUGCCGUUCUUUACAGUGCACCCGCAGUAUAAACUACCUCAUGUGCCUUUCUGGGAAGAAAAUGAAGACUUUAACAUGUCUCUUGCAGCCUGUCUUUGAGUCUUAUUUAAGUUGCUUCAGUCAGCUUUCAGUGUACAUUGGGUAAUAGACAUUUAAUGAUGUAAAAUAUCUCUAUUGAAAGCUUUAAACCACAGAGUGCUGUGUCGUGUGACUGGGGUGGACUCGGAGCCCGUGGUGAUGGUCUCGGUGUCCAGCUGUGUGGUCGGGGUUUCCAAAGGUGGGAACUGAUGUCCAUCUUUCCUCUCCAGCAUUUUCAGCUGCCAUCCAUGCGUUUCCUGACUGAAAAAUGACGUGACAUUGAAAUGUCCCUUUCCAGCAAGCACAUUUCGCCUGCUUUUCAUGUGUGCAUUACUUGCCUGAAAAGAUUACGUAUGAUGGGAUUGAAUAGUUCCCCUGACUCACAUUUAUCAAGUGUUUUCCAUAAAUAUCACUUAAUAAAAAAUAACAUGACAUGGAAUUAAAAUGUUUCUUUCAAGCAUUUCAACAGUUUUUCGCAUACACACCUAAUUUUAAAAUAACAUCUUUUGGUCUUUUUCAACUAUUUCUUAAAACUAAUUUGAAAAAUCACAUUUCACUGGAAAAUGCCAAUGCUGUACAUUUUCUCCUUUCUCAAGAGUGAAUAUUGACUCUCCUCCUCUCAGCUUUCCUGAAGUAGAACAUGUAUGUUGCAUUUUAUUCCUAAGAAUAAAGAGAAAAGCUGAAAAUAUUGUUGCAAGAAUUGUUACAUUUGGCAGGUCUGAGGGCAGUGGGACUGGAGAAAGAACUUGAGCUGUGAAGUCAUUAGGCUCAGACUGGGCAUGUGUCUGUCAUUUAUGAGCCACGUGGUGGCAGGGCAAAGCCACCUGACACUCUGGUAAUGGUGAUGGAUAAGGUAGAGGAUAGGUUGAAUUGAGUAAGCAACAACUAUUUCCUAAACUGGUUCAAGUUACUGCUUUGUCUAGGUGGUUUCUUAGUAUGUGAUUGAAAUUAUAUAUAUGCAAAGGUAUAUACAUGAUCUUUUAAUUAAAUACAGAAAAAAGACAUUUGACAAAAUGCAAUAUUCAUUUUUUUUAAAUUGAACAUUUUACUGGGUAUUCUGUACAAAAGGUGAAAAAAUAGAAAUAAAACACAUAAAAAUUAGAUAGUCUCAGCUGGCUAUGAUGGUGCAUAUCUCUAAUCUCAGCUACUCAGAAGGCUGAGACACGAGGAUUGCAAAUUAGAGGUCAACCUGAGCGAUAUAACAAGACCUUGUCUCAAGAUUUAAAAUAUUAGCUGGGACUGUAACUCAGUGGUAGAAUGUGUGCUAGUAUGGGUUGAGCCCAUGGGUUCGAGCCCCAGUACCAAAUAAAUAAAAUGUCUAUUUGCAAAUGAUUUGAUUAUUUAUAUAGAAAAUCCUGAAGUGUCUAAGAUAAUUUAACAAGGUCAUGGCAUAUAGUUCGACCUGCAGUGUCUCGUGCGUGUGUGGCAGGUGCCUGGAUCAUGGGGCACUGGACUCACUGGCGGUUGGUGAGCUCAGAGGCUGAUGUGGCAGUGGAGGUGAGGCCUGAUUGGAGGAGGUGGGUCACCGAGGGCGUGGCCUGAAAGAGGGCAUCUCCUUCCUUCCCUCUCUGCUUCCGGGCCACCAUGAUGUGAGCAGCUUUUCCUCCGCCAGGCCCUUCCAUGGCCUUUAGCC
rnacentral:lncRNA from 1 species